GGGGAGAAGAGGAGCAGAGGCACUCGGCUAAGAGCAGAAGAUGGACACCGCGAUGGGAUUUUUAUUCAGGGUGGCCGAGCGGAUGGGAACGAGGCAACGGCGGUGAGAAAAAUCUUGAGCUGAGCGGCGGCGGGGAUAAGGGAAGAAGACGGCUGGAAGGAUAGAGCCGCGAGAUUUUUCUUCCUGGGCACAUGAGAAUAGCAGAGGGAGGAGCUCCGGCGAGGUUGGCUGGAACGACGACUUGGAGCGGCGGUCGGGCGUCUGCAAGCUCUGAGCGCAGAACUGUAGGGGAUAGAAAAUAUGUGCGAUGCGGAGAGGUGGCCGGAUAAUGGAGUCCGUCGAGAAGAGAAUGGAUAUGGCCAGCGACGACGACGACAAGCUAGUAGCGCCACUUGAUUUUGACGGACGGGAGUGGCCGAACCGCUGUUUCGUCCACACGGCACCAGAUAAUGGAGUCCCGC
rnacentral:lncRNA from 1 species